AAAUAUAUAUAAUUUCUUAAGAAAAAGGGAUAAGAUUGUGUUUUGGUCUUGUACAGCAGAUUAGUAAUUUCUAAACAUUUUUCCCAAAAUGGUGAUGAAUCCAACUGACCACACGUGGGCUCAAAUUGUGUCUAUAACUAACACCCGCCUGGCUUUCCACAAAGUUGUCUGCAAUUUCCUGAUCAUUCUCUAAAAGGUACUCAUUGACUGACGAUCUCAACUCAAUGAGAAAUCCAUAGAAAAACCUGGGGAGAGUUUAUUUCCUAAUCCACCCCAUAGAUUAAGGAUUGUUCUUUAGUUAUAAAUUUGCAAUAACUUUAUUCCAUGUCUGUCUAUACACCAGGACUGCUACAGCACACCUCAUCACUUAAUCAAUGUUCACCUACAGCAUUGUGGGAGUUGUAGUUCAAGAAUUGCAAUAACAUUUAGAGAAAGUAUUUAUUGCAUAGCCCUGCCGAACAGAUUCAAUCUACCUCUUUCUCUCUGCGGAGGGCCACUUACCUGCCCUCAGCCUGCAGAGCUAUGAACAAAAUAUAAUCUAGAUGAAUAUAGGACAGUUUUAAUGCAUUAAAAUAGCUAUUCACAAAUGUAAAAUACUGAUACUUGUGUCCUUUCAUUUGUAGAGCAAUUCAAUUUACAUUUUGUAAAGUUAAAAUGAGUUUUCUUCAACAUUUAUAUUAGGUGUGUGUCGUUUUACAAUGUGGCCCAUUUUUUUACACAAACUUUACAGUAAAACAUAGAUGUCUCUUAAUUCGGUGUAAUAUUUUUAAAGCCCUAUGGAACACACUUCAAGAUGAGAGAUUUUACAAAACAAAGGUGUUCUUAAAGUUGCAGUGAUGCCUAGUUUAAGAAAACGCACGUUUUGUAACCGAACAUGACUUCAGGAACAUCUCCGUAACUAUAAACACCCUAAACCAACACAGGAGGACACUUAACGGUGUCCAGUUGUGUUCCUGAUAUAUUUUUUCUCAGUGUAAAAUUUAACCUGUAGACAUUGGAUACCACAAGAGGGCAGCAUUGUCCGUUCCUUGUUGCCAUAGCAGCAGAUUUCAUGAACCUUUUUUUUUUUUUUCUUUGAAGUCUUCAGGACUGUUGAGAAACUAAUAAAUCGAUCAAGUCUCCUCCAUUCUAUUUGUCUAACAUGCCUGUUGAAUCAAAGUGAAAGUGAGCCUUUUAAAGGUCACUUGUGACAGGUUCUUAAAGAGGCUAACAUUUCAUUGUGCAUAUUGCUAAAAUGUAUAUGUGACAUUUAUCUUUACAAUGUAAUUCUUUGAUGUUGUGUUACACCGAUGUCUCCUUUAAUUACUUUUAAAUUGUAACCGUGUGUACACUAUCCCAGUGAACUGGUAUUUUUCAAUUUUCUGGAGGGAAAUGUUUCCAGAGCGUGCCUUUUGGGAGCCAUAUUUGUAUUUCCCCUUUUAAUAAAAUGACAUUUAUGUGGAAUAAAAUUUGAGUUGUGACACCUGAGUUCCAGAAAACCUA